CCCAGACUCCUACGGGAGGCAGCAGUGGGGGAUAUUGCACAAUGGGGGGAACCCUGAUGCAGCGACGCCGCGUGGGUGAAGGAGCGUUUCGGCGCAUAAAGCCCUAUCGGCAGGGAAGAAGGAGGACGGUACCUGACUAAGAAGCCCCGGCUAACUACGUGCCAGCAGCCGCGGUAAUACGUAGGGGGCAAGCGUUAUCCGGAUUUACUGGGUGUAAAGGGGGCGCAGACGGCAGCGCAAGCCAGGAGUGAAAGCCCGGGGCCCAACCCCGGGACUGCUCUUGGAACUGCGCGGCUGGAGUGCAGGAGGGGCAGGCGGAAUUCCUGGUGUAGCGGUGAAAUGCGUAGAUAUCAGGAGGAACACCGGUGGCGAAGGCGGCCUGCUGGACUGCGACUGACGUUGAGGCCCGAAAGCGUGGGGAGCAAACAGGAUUAGAUACCCGGGUAGA
rnacentral:rRNA from 1 species